GACCAGCCUUUCUGCUAAGGGCUUUAAUAUUGUCUAUGAUAUUAAUGGACGCGAGGCCACUGAAGUAUCCCCCAUACUAGAAGCGUUGCCAAACUUGGAACAGUUUAUCUAUUGCUCAUCGGCAGGAGUCUACCUUAAGUCAGACCUGCUCCCACACUUUGAGGUAUAUUUCCAUACCACUCACAUGGAUGUCAACAUGAAGUCGUCACCAUUACUGACUCGUGGCA